rnacentral:rRNA from 1 species
UACGUAGGCGGCAAGCGUUGUCCGGAUUUAUUGGGUUUAAAGGGUGCGUAGGCGGUUCUGUAAGUCAGUGGUGAAAUCCGGCAGCUCAACUGUCGAUGUGCCAUUGAUACUGCAGAACUUGAGUACAGACGAGGUAGGCGGAAUUGACGGUGUAGCGGUGAAAUGCUUAGAUAUCGUCAAGAACACCGAUAGCGAAGGCAGCUUACUAGACUGUAACUGACGCUGAUGCACGAAAGUGUGGGGAUCAAACAGG